UUACGGCCAUAUCACAUUGAAACAGCGGCUCUCAUAUGAUUACCGAAUUUAAGCAACGUUGAACUUGGUCAGUACCGAAUUGGGUGACCGCUUGGGAAUACCAAGUGCUGUAAG